UUCAGGAAUAGAAACUUAUUCUGUUGAUGCUGCUACUGCCGAUUCUGAUUCCUCUUCUUCUGUUUCUUCCGCAGAUUCCGUUGAUCCGGAUUCUCCUGGUGUGGAUUCAGCAAUUUCUUCUGCUUACCUGACUUCUAAUUCUGCAAUGGAAACGGAUGAUGGAACAGACUCCGCAACAGAUUCUUCUCUUUUGCCUGCAUAGAUUGCAAUGCCUUUGUGAAGAAAAAGUGAACAAAAGGAGCAUGAAAGGCAUAGCUGAAGCUGCAAGAAAGCUAAGGCAAAUUUGCUUACGGCAUGUGUCAUCAUACACUGAUGCUUUUCUUGUGCUUCAUUCUGCUCCAACUUUUAAGAUUUUUAGUACUAUAAAUUAUAAUUGUCUCAUAUGGUGCUUGCUUUCAUGACUUCAUUAACGAGGGCAAGUCAAAUGUCACGUAGUAUGAUAACAUGACAACAUGAAAGACUUGGCAUAGAAACAAAAAUGCCGUAAAACAUCUA